CGUGUAGGCUGUCGUGUGUGUCAGGUGUGAAAUCCCUCGGCUCAACCGGGGAACUGCACUUGAAACUGCGCGACUUGAAUCCGGUAGAGGGAGGCGGAAUUCCUGGUGUAGAGGUGAAAUUCGUAGAUAUCAGGAGGAACACUGGAGGCGUAGGCGGCCUCCUGGGCCGGUAUUGACGCUGAGGCGCGAAAGCGUGGGGAGCAAACA
rnacentral:rRNA from 1 species